GCGGGUGUGGCGGAACUGGUAGACGCACUGGAUUUAGGUUCCAGCGCCGCGAGGCGUGGAGGUUCAAAUCCUCUCACCCGCACCA
rnacentral:tRNA from 1 species